GCAGUAUCUCCUGUUUCCGGAGCUGAGACCGGCAGCCUCUGCCUGAUUUAUUGAAGGAGCAAGAGGAUCCCAGUUUCCGCGCUAACACGCAGCUGUCACAUCUAGUUGGAGACAGCCACUUCUUCCCAGCUGUUUACCUGCUCUGGCAAGAAGGCACCCUAUUCCAAAAGCGAGUAGGCUGGAGGAGGAGUCUGCGUGGUGCUUGCUGCAGGUCAAUUUUGUUUGGAAAUGAAUGCUAAGGAAAGCAUCGACUGGUAAGUGACCACAGCUCUUUUUUAUGCUCAUUUUGUUCAGUGGAUAUUCUACAUUCUUUCUAGCAUUGCCGUUCUCAAGUGAAGUCACUAAGAAAUAUUACAUACCAAUGGGUUUGCUAAGGAAUAUUUAAAAAAUCAAACCAUGCAUUCUGGAAAAUGGUAACAAAACAUAUUUAAGUAAUUUUAUCACAGCUUGUUAUUUUUUCUAACAGUUAAUUUGAAAAUCAUAGAGGAUUUGGGGGAUUUAAUAUAAUAAGAGAAGCAUGCCUUUUUGUUAUUCAUGAGUCGUAAAGGUUGAAAUAACUGUUAGUACAAAGUUGGAGGUUUUGCAGUAAUGAAGAGUGUUCCAGAUUUGUUUCCUAUAGAAUGUGUUAGCUCUUUUGUCCUCUUUUAUUUAAGUCCAUGGAAAGGUUCCAUGGACUUAAAUAAAGGGGCUACAUAUCACUGAAACACAAAGAUCUAGUUUUUACCUUGUGAAUUGCAUCAGAUGGUUUGUUCAAGAGACAAUUUUUAUGGUGUUUGAGCCUGUUCUUUGAGUAGGAAAAUAUUUUUAUAUACAAUGUAUCUGUGUGUGAAGUGUCAGUGCAAUUGCAGUUUUGUAGGUUUUAACAUGAUGAUUCAGAAAAGAUUAUGUAUGUGUUUCCAUUUGUUGUCUUCAUUUCAAUAGAGGAAAAAUAUGUUUUUAAAUAUAUCUCAUGCUAGUCAAACAGGAGCUGCUUCUAGGAUUAAUUGAUAAAACUUGAUUGCAUACCAUUUUCUCUGAUUGUUAAUAUGCUAUGGUGGUAUUUUUUCCCAUAUAAUUCCCUUAUAUAUCCAGUUUGGGAGAGGACCUCAUCUGCUAGCACCCCAGAUAAAUAAAAGAAUGUAAAGGAAUUCCAAACUAAAUAGUAAGAUUAGGUAUAGAACAGACUGAAAGAAUUGGCUAGUAAGCUUUGUAAAUAAUUUGUGGAAACCUUGAAAGGUUGGAAUUAAGGAAAAUGGAAUAUGAUGUAAUGAAACAAAUGACUAGAAAUAUACAAGAGUAGCAAAAAUUCAGUUUGUAAAGUGGGAAUUAAAAACAUCUGGGUUAAUAUGCAUUCAUCUAUUUUAUGAUUGAUUUCCUUAAAAAUAUGCAAGGCAGGUUAAAAUUCAUCACUGAAUAUAUUCAGCAUAUUUGGUUUUUUCCUUAAUUGGACACUCCCAAUGGCACUCAUAUUUUUGAGAACUAAAAUGUAGGAUAUUGUAAAAGGACAUAAAGGACACCUUAACAAUUACUUUUAAUACAACUACCAAUGGAUGCAUCUACAAAAUACCCCACAUUUAAGGUUCAGAGAUCAUUGCAGAAAAGGUGCAUAAAAUAUUAUAAAAGCUAGAGGAUUGGGAAGUUUUAUGUGAGAUUAUAUUUCUUAGAAAUAUUUGAAGUUAACUUCAUGAGAUCUUACCAAUAUGACUGCCCAAUCAUGAAUUGAACAUGGACCAUACCAAUGUACAUGUCAAAGUAGACCUGGAAAAGCUUAAAAGACCUAUGCAAAGAAAUAUGUGUCAGGUGUCAGCUAAGGAAAACUUGUUGCAGGAGUGGUGGUCUAUCCUAGGGCAAACAUAUCAAUCAGGUUCUCCAGGGACAAAUGGUCAGCCCUAAAAACACACAUGCAAAUAACAUUAUAUGGAGUGAAGGGGUUGUAUUUAGAUGCAUACACACACAGAGAAACACACACAACUAUAUUUAGUGAAAUAGGAAAACUAUGAUUUUGAACAAGAGUGAGGAAUUGGAAGUGGGAAGUUUUGGUAUAGACCUUGAAACUGACUUGAAGCCUUGAAAUUGAGUGCUGAAUCCUCCACUCACAACAAGUUUUAGUGCUGCUAUCACUGUGAUUAACUUAAGAUAAUAUAUGGGACUUCAUAUGAAAUAUACAAAUGUCAACCUCCCGUAAAGAUAAAAAUACUGGCUUAGCUGUGAUAUUACAUCAGGUACAUAGAAAUAGAUCCACAUACAUACUCCAUGUCAGUCUUUGAAAACACACAUGCACUUUCUUGUGCAUAUGGGUACUUUUUAAAACAAAUGAAAUGUGAUAUUUAGUACAUAGAAAACAAUGUCUUGAUGUCUUGAUGUCAUUACUAGGAACUCAUCACAUGUAUAAUCACUUUUUUUGUUUUGUUUUGUUUUAAAGGACAAAAACUAUGGGUCCAAAUAUAAAGUGAAAGUUCCAGUAAAUUGAAAUGGAAACAUUUUAAAAUGAGUCACAAUGAGUGAAAAAUUGGGAUUCUUUCAUGAAAUUACUCUANNNNNNNNNNNNNNNNNNNNNNNNNNNNNNNNNNNNNNNNNNNNNNNNNNNNNNNNNNNNNNNNNNNNNNNNNNNNNNNNNNNNNNNNNNNNNNAAUAAAAUCUUGUAUCAUUUUCUAUUAAAUUUUACCAUUUAACCUUUCCUUAAAGGCAGAUCAUUGUCAAUAUGUAGCCUAUUAUCUCAGUUGUCUUUUAAUUCUCCUAAUGUACCAGUUUCACUUGGAUUUUAUUCUCCAAUAUUUAUUCUCUCUCUUUCCCCGUAAUAUUGGUAGUAUUAGAUUCAUUUUUGUAACCCUAAAGUUUUUCUAUCUAAUCCUACUUGAAACAAAUUCCAUCCAACAUAACCUCAUGUUGUAAUGGUAUUAUCUUCAUAAAUCUUCCCAUGUUCUACCUUUUCACAGUUGCAAUUAGAUACUAAAUACUUCCCCACACACAUAUGCACUAACAUGCCACGAAACACAGCCCAAAGUAAAGUCUCAAUUAAUUUAGUCAGUGAUAUGAAAUCUAAUUAAAAGUAUGUCUAGCAUGCAACUUGCUUCACUGUGUACUCCCAUGGAGUCUAAGGUAAAAGAUAUUUACAUAAUCUCAAAUUAUCUUCCCACAAGUUGCAGAUCAUUUCUAAGGAGACAACAAACAAUAGCUUUAGACCAGAAAACUCAAAAGACUGUAGUAUCUCUGC
ensembl:lincRNA